rnacentral:rRNA from 1 species
CCUACGGGAGGCAGCAGUGGGGAAUAUUGCACAAUGGGGGAAACCCUGAUGCAGCGACGCCGCGUGUGUGAGGAAGUAUUUCGGUAUGUAAAGCUCUAUCAGCAGGGAAGAAAAUGACGGUACCUGACUAAGAAGCCCCGGCUAACUACGUGCCAGCAGCCGCGGGAAUUCGUAGGGGGCAAGCGUUAUCCGGAUUUACUGGGGGUAAAGGGAGCGUAGACGGGGAAUGAAGUCAGAAGUGAAAACCCAGGGAUCAACCUUGGGAGUGCUUUUGAAACUGAGUAGCUAGAGUGCAGGAGAGGUAAGCGGAAUUCCUAGUGUAGCGGUGAAAUGCGUAGAUAUUAGGAGGAACACCAGUGGCGAAGGCGGCUUACUGGACUGUAACUGACGUUGAGGCUCGAAAGCGUGGGGAGCAAACAGGAUUAGAUACCCCUGUAGUC